AUGAACAUGCUGGAAUGUGCGUGACUCUUGAAUGUAACGAGAAAUGUGAGACAACAACGACUACGACACCUUGUACAAAAACAACAACACCAACAACAACAACAAUAAAAAGCACACACACAACAUGUUUCUGUAUUUACGGGAAACGCCAUUUCAAGUCAGGUCAGAGAAUAAGGAGUAGUGAA